UUCAGGUUUGUGACUGAAGGCCUUGUUUUGAGGGUGUUUUGCAGACCAGUGCUUGUCGGCCUGGGGAUUUUCCAGAAAAACUGUAGACUGCCCCCUUAAGGUUUAGGUCUGAGAGUGUAUGCCAGAGUGUCUGCCUGUGCUAACCCUGCUGUGGUUCUGACGAAUUGACUGUCCCUGGCUUCCUUGUCUGUCAGCCGUACCAGUCGUUUAGAAGCUUUCGGCGCCUCGGAACUUGCACUGGAAACUCCAGGUUGUGACUGAAGGCCUUGUUUUGAGGGUGUUUUGCAGACCAGUGCUUGUCGGCCUGGGGAUUUUCCAGAAAAACUGUAGACUGCCCCCUUAAGGUUUAGGUCUGAGAGUGUAUGCCAGAGUGUCUGCCUGUGCUAACCCUGCUGUGGUUCUGACGAAUUGACUGUCCCUGGCUUCCUUGUCUGUCAGCCGUACCAGUCGUUUAGAAGCUUUCGGCGCCUCGGAACUUGCACUGGAAACUCCAGGUUGUGACUGAAGGCCUUGUUUUGAGGGUGUUUUGCAGACCAGUGCUUGUCGGCCUGGGGAUUUUCCAGAAAAACUGUAGACUGCCCCCUUAAGGUUUAGGUCUGAGAGUGUAUGCCAGAGUGUCUGCCUGUGCUAACCCUGCUGUGGUUCUGACGAAUUGACUGUCCCUGGCUUCCUUGUCUGUCAGCCGUACCAGUCGUUUAGAAGCUUUCGGCGCCUCGGAACUUGCACUGGAAACUCCAGGUUGUGACUGAAGGCCUUGUUUUGAGGGUGUUUUGCAGACCAGUGCUUGUCGGCCUGGGGAUUUUCCAGAAAAACUGUAGACUGCCCCCUUAUCACUUACU